rnacentral:rRNA from 1 species
GUUAAGCGACUAAGCGUACACGGUGGAUGCCCUGGCAGUCAGAGGCGAUGAAGGACGUGCUAAUCUGCGAUAAGCGUCGGUAAGGUGAUAUGAACCGUUAUAACCGGCGAUUUCCGAAUGGGGAAACCCAGUGUGUUUCGACACACUAUCAUUAACUGAAUCCAUAGGUUAAUGAGGCGAACCGGGGGAACUGAAACAUCUAAGUACCCCGAGG